GGGUCGUUAGCUCAGUUGGUAGAGCAGUUGACUUUUAAUCAAUUGGUCGCAGGUUCGAAUCCUGUACUGACUCU
rnacentral:tRNA from 1 species